UGGAUCCAGACUUUGAUUAUGGCUCAGGAUGAACGCUAGCGACAGGCCUAACACAUGCGAGUCGAGGGGCAGCGGAGAGGUAGCAAUACCUUUGCCGGCGACCGGCGCACGGGUGAGUAACACGUAUGCAAUCCACCUGUAACAGGGGGAUAACCCGGAGAAAUCCGGACUAAUACCCCAUAAUAUGGGCUCUCCGCAUGGAGGGUCCAUUAAAGAGAGCAAUUUUGGUUACAGACGAGCAUGCGCUCCAUUAGCCAGUUGGCGGGGUAACGGCCCACCAAAGCGACGAUGGAUAGGGGUUCUGAGAGGAAGGUCCCCCACAUUGGAACUGAGACACGGUCCAAACUCCUACGGGAGGCAGCAGUGAGGAAUAUUGGUCAAUGGUCGGCAGACUGAACCAGCCAAGUCGCGUGAGGGAAGACGGCCCUACGGGUUGUAAACCUCUUUUGUCGGAGAGUAAAGUACGCUACGUGUAGCGUAUUGCAAGUAUCCGAAGAAAAAGCAUCGGCUAACUCCGUGCCAGCAGCCGCGGUAAUACGGAGGAUGCGAGCGUUAUCCGGAUUUAUUGGGUUUAAAGGGUGCGUAGGCGGCACGCCAAGUCAGCGGUGAAAUUUUCGGGCUCAACCCGGACUGUGCCGUUGAAACUGGCGAGCUAGAGUGCACAAGAGGCAGGCGGAAUGCGUGGUGUAGCGGUGAAAUGCAUAGAUAUCACGCAGAACCCCGAUUGCGAAGGCAGCCUGCUAGGGUGCGACAAACGCUGAGGCACGAAAGCGUGGGUAUCGAACAGGAUUAGAUACCCUGGUAGUCCACGCAGUAAACGAUGAAUACUAACUGUUUGCGAUACAAUGUAAGCGGUACAGCGAAAGCGUUAAGUAUUCCACCUGGGGAGUACGCCGGCAACGGUGCAACUCAAAUGAAUUGACGGA
rnacentral:rRNA from 1 species